CCAGACUCCUACGGGAGGCAGCAGUGAGGAAUAUUGGUCAAUGGGAGAGAUCCUGAACCAGCCAAGCCGCGUGAGGGAAGACGGCCCUAUGGGUUGUAAACCUCUUUUGUCGGAGAACAAAACCCGGGACGUGUCCCGGACUGCGUGUAUCCGAAGAAAAAGCAUCGGCUAACUCCGUGCCAGCAGCCGCGGUAAUACGGAGGAUGCGAGCGUUAUCCGGAUUUAUUGGGUUUAAAGGGUGCGUAGGCGGUCCGUUAAGUCAGGGGUAAAAUUGCGGGGCUAAACCCGGGCGAGCCGUUGAAACUGGCGUUCUUGAGUGGGCGAGAAGUAUGCGGAAUGCGUGGUGUAGCGGUGAAAUGCAUAGAUAUCACGCAGAACCCCGAUUGCGAAGGCAGCAUGCCGGCUUCCGACUGACGCUGAAGCACGAAAGCGUGGGUAUCGAACAGGAUUAGAUACCCCCGUAAA
rnacentral:rRNA from 1 species